UUUUUUUUAAAACAAUGAGUCUCUUAAUUUUGUUAUCAGAUACACAAGGACAAUUCAUAAAAAUAGAAAUAAUAUCUGGGAAGCGGUGGGCAUGCCAUUGGCACACAGGAGUGGCGAUGGCUAUUCUUACCAUUUCUUCUCAUUUCUGGCAGGAAUGAAUCACUUACUUCCAACGUUUCCUAAAGAGGCAAUGGGCUCCUGGGCCCUUUCUCACUCGGGAGGGCCUUUCCUCUGCCCCAUCAUUCUGAGGGUUUCUGGAAGAUGGAGUCCCGCUCUGUUGCCCAUGCUGGAGUGCAGUGUCGCGAUCUGGGUUCGCUGCAACCUCCGCCUCCCAGGUUCAAGUGAUUCUCCUGCCUCAGCCUCCUGAGUAGCUACGAUUACAGCCCGAGAGGAAAGCCCCAUGCUAUCCCCAUUUCAUAGAUGGGAAAACUGAGGCUUGAGGACACUUUGCGGCCUCCAAGGGCUGUUCUCUUCAUUCCUCCAGCAGAGUGGAUAUGAGACGGUGCAGGGUCUGGAAUGUCUGGGCAGAAGGAAGAGCUGGAGCAAAGGCCUGGAGGCUGGAGAGCGCUGUCGGGGGGCAAGUGGGGCAGUGUCCCACUGCGGGGUUUCAUCUCAGCUCUGCCAUGUCUUGGCUACGUGACCUCUGACACCCUACUGGGCCUCUUUGAUCCCAGACUCACCUGUAGAAUGGGUGUGUGAGAAGAAAACCUUCUGGAGCGGGGUGUUGAGGAGAGAACAGUGCCUGACACAUCAUAAUAAUAAUGCUGAAUAGAUGUUAUUUUCAUUCCUAACCACUUCCUCCAGGAAGCCCAUCCUGACCUCUAGCUCCCAAAGUCACCUGGACUUCCUCCAUCACAGACCUUGCCACAGUGUGAGAAACUGCCUCAUCCACACACCAGCUUCUCACCUCCACCCAGACCCUCUGAUUGGGACUCCCCUGAAGACUGUGUCCCCAGAGCCCAGAAAGAGUCCAGCACAGAGCAGCUGAGGGGGCAGGUGCUGGUGAACAGUGUCAAUGAGCCCCUGCUACUCACCAAGCCCUUCACACACGGGUCCUUCAUUUAAUGUCUUUCUUCUCCUAGAUAGAACCUUGGCUUUGCCAAGACCGGUAUAGUUGCUGCUCAAGAAAUAUGUGAGGAAAUUGUUGAGAUGAACCAGCACUCAGGGGAAGGGAGGCUUUCUGAGGCUGGGGCCUUAGCAGGUGGAGCUCCUGGGAUAAUAAUAAUAAGAAAGAUGCCUGGACGCGGUGACUCACACCUGGAAUCCCAGCAAUUUGGGAGGCUAAGGCAGGCAGAUCACUUCAGGCCAGGAGUUCAAGACCAGCCUGGUCAACAUGGUGAAACCUGGUCUCUACU
rnacentral:lncRNA from 1 species